AUGCUCACUUUGGUAGCACAUAUACUAAAAUUUGAACAAUACAGAGAAGAUUAGCAUGGCCCCUGCACAAGGAUGACACAAAUUUGUGAAGCAUUGCAUAUUUUU
rnacentral:snRNA from 1 species